CCUACGGGCGGCAGCAGUGAGGAAUAUUGGUCAAUGGACGAGAGUCUGAACCAGCCAAGUAGCGUGAAGGAUGACUGCCCUAUGGGUUGUAAACUUCUUUUAUAAAGGAAUAAAACGAGGCACGUGUGCCUUUUUGCAUGUACUUUAUGAAUAAGGAUCGGCUAACUCCGUGCCAGCAGCCGCGGUAAUACGGAGGAUCCGAGCGUUUUCCGGAUUUGUUGGGUUUAAAGGGAGCGUAGAUGGGUUGUUAAGUCAGUUGUGAAAGUUUGCGGCUCAACCGUAAAAUUGCAAUUGAUACUGGCAGUCUUGAGUACAGUUGAGGUAGGCGGAAUUCGUGGUGUAGCGGUGAAAUGCUUAGAUAUCACGAAGAACUCCGAUUGCGAAGGCAGCUUACUAAACUGCAACUGACAUUGAUGCUCGAAAGUGUGGGUAUCAAACAGGAUUAGAUACCCCUGUAGUC
rnacentral:rRNA from 1 species